CGUACGCAACCUUCCCAGAACAGGUGAAUAGCCCUGCGAAAGUAGGAUUAAUACACCGUAACAUAUAGCUGUGGCAUCACGGUUAUAUAAAAGGCAGCAAUGCCGGUUUUGGAUGGGCGUGCGCCUGAUUAGGUAGUUGGUGCGGGUAACGGCCCACCAAGCCUUCGAUCAGUAACUGGUGUGAGAGCACGACCAGUCACACGGGCACUGAGACACGGGCCCG
rnacentral:rRNA from 1 species